UUACAAAGGCAAAAUUGAAUUGUGUUCGAACAUAAUAGUCUUUCUCGAAAAAACACUAAAGCUUGCAUUAUGCUAAGAUCCACUUAGAAUACAGGGAUAUUUAAUGGCUAGUUUUUAAAGAAAUAACCUACUGCCUUUAUUUCCAAACCUGGUUUUUCUAAAAUGAAAAAGGAAAACUAUAUUGGGUGGCAAAUUAGUUUAGGUAUUUUGCAAAAAUGUCUUUAAGGUUUGUGAUUUUGAAAAUAUAGCAAAAAUAAUCAAAUCCAGGCUUUUAUAUGGGUGGGCUGGACUUUAUUUGAUCAUUUUCACAAAUAAUAAAGUUAUAACUUGUUUUACCAUUUUUGCAAAUGUCCCAUGAAAAAAGUUAAUGCUCAAGGAUAGCAUUUAUUUGUGAAUACUGGUUUUCAAGCAUUGCAAACGGUGUGAUUUGAGUUUUAUGAUUAACACUAUUACUCAAACGAACCUAUUUUGAAAGAAAUUAUAAAUUAUAUUGUUCUAGGAAGCAAUUCAUCAGUAGAGACUAAAAGAAUAUAAAAAAAAUAUUUCUCUUAUAGUGAAAAUAAACUCUUUCAUAACGACUUCGUUGAAUGGUCUCACUAUAUUUCCAGGCAGCGACCGUUCUUGUUAAACACUUCAAUUCAGCAUGGUCUUUCCAUAAGAAGAUCAAGGAGACAACGGCAAAAAUUACCUUUUUGACCACUGGUUAGAUAAAGCACCAAUUGGAGAAGUUUCUGAAUGGUCUUGACCAACAAGCGAACAGUCUGGUAGGAAAAUCUGGUACCAUUAAGGAUUAAACCAAAUGCAAACGAAACCAAAAGUUUAAACAUAAAAAACAUCAAUCCUAAUAGAAGGAUAUACUUUUAUCGCAGCCAGUCUUUCCAGGUGACUUCUGAUCUUGAAUCUUAAAAAGAAAGGAAAACAAAAGGAUUUGAAGGAAAAAAUAAAAUAAAAAUGGAAUGAAGUAAUGGAAUUGUAGCUCAAACCAGAUUUUACCUUAGUUGUCUGCUCCAACAAGUCCUCAAUUGCGGAAGCGACAUCAGGAACGUGUGAAGUUACUACAGAAGAAUUUGAUGUAGUUUGUUUUGUGGAAUUCAAAAUGCAGUCAGAUUGAGUGGAUCUGUUUCCAACAAAAGUGAAUGCUUUUCUAUGGCUUCGUCAAAGAACUUGCGCUUUUCUUCGUAGAACUUAUUCGUUCAGCUGCUCCUAUAAAGCUACUGUUAGUUCCAGCUGAUUGGUCUCUCGGAAUGGCAGAAUGGAUAGGAAACUGGGAUAUGCUUUCAUUGGCUAUCAUUGGGGCAGCUUGAGUAGGAAAUUGGCUGACAGUGCAUAAGCCUGUCGCUCUGUCUUGAGCUUUAACUUCUUUUGGGCGAUACAAAUCAAGAGAGACAAUCUUUCUCUGAAAGUUUUGUAUUCAAACAAAAUCAUUCCAUAUCUAAGAGAAGAAAUAUCAACACAAUGGGUCUAGAAUUCUAUCAGGAUAUGCAUGUACGUGAACAUAUAUAAUUGAAAAGCAACAAAAUCGCAAAGGUACCUGGCUGACACACUCAUAUAUCCAUUCAGCUGUAAUGCAUUGUUUGCCCCAUUUACAAGCAGCCUCAAACUUUGUCCCAUCGGUGAACUUGCAUAUUAGAUGGGUUACCUUCUUUGUCAGCUUCUCCACAAACUUGGCCCCAAGUACAAAACACAGAUUUCUUAACAAUACUCUGUCUUUAUCAUCAUAUUGUGAAACACAAAAUCGUAUGUUUUCAAAUCCAGGCAAAGGGACACAGCAAGGAAGAGGAGAAUAGAGAAUGUGCCCAUUGGUAUCCCACAAACAUCCAUCCUUCAUAACGAGUUUAUUUGAAAUAGUCAGUAAACAAAUAAAAACAAGAUAAAUAUUCAAUUCUCAUUUCAAAUAUCAGUUUAAGAUAUUGAACAUAAUUAGGUUACGAAAUAAAUAAUAAAUAUAAAAUUAAAAUUAAAAAUCAUCAGUAGUAUCAAAUUUCAUAAAAAAUGUUCUCACUUUUCCUCUUCUCAUUAAGAAAGGUUCAUCAAGACAAGUUCCAUCUGUCUUGAUAUUUUUACCACCGUCCAUCCUUGUUAUUUUGUUCCAAACUGCAUUAGAAUCUUUGUUGAAAUCGCUAGAAUCACUGUAACCAAAUUUCAAAUGUGGAUAAUGAUAGGUUCUUUGAGAAAAUCAAGCACGAGCAAAAUUAUUGUGUUAGAAUUCUUCUUUUGAAUCACUUGAAUCAGAACUCCAAUUCUUCAUUUGGGAGGAAAUUUGAGUUUCUUGCCUAUACCAACUAGCCAACUAGUAUAUUUUUUCUUCACCUGUCUUCCUUGAUGUGUACAAAUGCAUCCAUGCAAAAUUAGGAUGAAUUUCUUUCUUCUUCUUUUCUUUUUUAAUUUUAAGGGUUCCCCCAGUUAGAUGUGUGUUGUUUAGCAAUGCGAACAACUCACAAGGCUCCCUCUUCUGAUCAGCAUCACGAAAAAAUUUCCAAUUUUCCACCGAUGGCAAUCAAAGUUGGUCCAAACGUUUGCUCUAAUACCGAUAACAAUUUGGUGUAGACCAAAUGAGAGAAUUUUAUUAAUAUUUAAAUUUGUGAAUACAAGAAGACAAGUACUCUAUUAAAAUCAAACUAAUCCUAAUUAAUAAAAGAAACUAAUCCUAAUCCUAAUAUAUUAAGAAUUUGACCAUAAUACCCUAAUUCCUACUCCAUAAAAAAUCUUAUGAGUUAUAGUUCGUUCUUUAGUCCUCUUGUAAUCAAGUUGACGAAAAUGGUGGCAAUUUUAAAAAAAAAAUUACUAUAAUUGAUAGAGUUAUAGUUCACAAAAAGAAAAAUGGCCACACACCUGAGACUCUGUUUGUGUUUCACUAAAGCCGUCACAUAUGCCCACAGUCCCAUCUUCAGUAGUAGAAUUGCCCACAUCUUCUUUUCUUUCAGCUCUGAGAAAAUACAAGACACAAAGGUCUCAAAAACCAAGUUACAAAGGCAAAAUUGAAUUGUGUUCGAACAUAAUAGUCUUUCUCGAAAAAACACUAAAGCUUGCAUUAUGCUAAGAUCCACUUAGAAUACAGGGAUAUUUAAUGGCUAGUUUUUAAAGAAAUAACCUACUGCCUUUAUUUCCAAACCUGGUUUUUCUAAAAUGAAAAAGGAAAACUAUAUUGGGUGGCAAAUUAGUUUAGGUAUUUUGCAAAAAUGUCUUUAAGGUUUGUGAUUUUGAAAAUAUAGCAAAAAUAAUCAAAUCCAGGCUUUUAUAUGGGUGGGCUGGACUUUAUUUGAUCAUUUUCACAAAUAAUAAAGUUAUAACUUGUUUUACCAUUUUUGCAAAUGUCCCAUGAAAGAAGUUAAUGCUCAAGGAUAGCAUUUAUUUGUGAAUACUGGUUUUCAAGCAUUGCAAACGGUGUGAUUUGAGUUUUAUAAUUAACACUAUUACUCAAACGAACCUAUUUUGAAAGAAAUUAUAAAUUAUAUUGUUCUAGGAAGCAAUUCAUCAGUAGAGACUAAAAGAAUAUAAAAAAAAUAUUUCUCUUAUAGUGAAAAUAAACUCUUUCAUAACGACUUCGUUGAAUGGUCUCACUAUAUUUCCAGGCAGCGACCGUUCUUGUUAAACACUUCAAUUCAGCAUGGUCUUUCCAUAAGAAGAUCAAGGAGACAACG
rnacentral:lncRNA from 1 species